rfam:Picea glauca, whole genome shotgun sequence.
AUGGCCGAGUGGUGUAAGGGGCCAGACUCAAGUUCUGGUCCUCAAUUGAGUGCGUGGGUUCAAAUCCCACU